AGGUUAACCGUAUAGGGGAGCCGUAGGGAAACCGAGUCUUAACUGGGCGAAUGAGUUGCAGGGUAUAGACCCGAAACCCGGUGAUCUAUCCAUGGGCAGGUUGAAGGUUGGGUAACACUAACUGGAGGACCGAACCGACUAAUGUUGAAAAAUUAGCGGAUGACUUGUGGAUGGGGGUGAAAGGCCAAUCAAACCGGGAGAUAGCUGGUUCUCCCCGAAAGCUAUUUAGGUAGCGCCUCGUGAAUUCAUCUUCGGGGGUAGAGCACUGUUUCGACUAGGGGGUCAUCCCGACUUACCAACUCGAUGCAAACUGCGAAUACCGAAGAAUGUUAUCACGGGAGACACACGGCGGGUGCUAACGUCCGUCGUGAAGAGGGAAACAACCCAGACCGCCAGCUAAGGUCCCAAAGUCAUGGUUAAGUGGGAAACGAAGUGGGAAGGCUCAGACAGCCAGGAUGUUGGCUUAGAAGCAGCCAUCAUUUAAAGAAAGCGUAAUAGCUCACUGGUCGAGUCGGCCCGCGCGGAAGAUGUAACGGGGCUAAACCAUGCACCGAAGCUGCGGCAGCGA
rnacentral:rRNA from 1 species